UUAAGUUCAGCGGGUAGUCCUACCUGAUUUGAGGCCAGAUGUCAAGAUAUUGAUCCCUAGAGAUCAAUGGAUUAGAAAGCGGUCGUUAGUCUGCAACGCGGCCAUCCGAAGAUGUCCUUAGCGAAAUACUUAUUACGCCAAGUCAAACCAUGUCGCGAGACAGAUCCAGCUAUUACUUUUAAGACGAGCCGACUUAUCAU
rnacentral:misc_RNA from 1 species